rnacentral:lncRNA from 1 species
CUGGGUGGAAAUGUCAAAGAGAAAAGCAUAUACUAUCGCUGAGUGGAACUACUAACCAGGAGAGAGAAGGCGAGAUAGAUUAGGUGGUAGUCUGACUCCGCACGCUUCUCCCCUCCCCCUCCCCCUUCUCUCGUCUCGUCCCCCUCUCCCUUCCAAAUCGAAAUCCCCCACCCAUACUGAGCCAGUGAGCUCCACACUCCUCCCCAGCUCGCCCCGGCGUC